UGUGAUAGUGUAAGUUGGAGUAAGCUUGGUGCUAUUUCUUUUCUUUUGUUUGUUAUUUUCUUUGAAUAAGAGGAUUGAAAGUUUCUAAAUAUUGUGAAAUGAAUUAUGGAAUGGAAAUGUGAUUGGUAUUGUUUGAGAAGAAGAAAGAUUGAAUGCUAAAAUCUGAAUGUAGUUCAGUAGAGAGAAUGAGUUUGUGUUUGUGUGAAACACUGUAAUAUGAAUGGCAGUUUUGUGUGAAGAAUUCUAGUGAUUGGAAUGAGGGUAAUUGUGUGUUGAAAGCUAUGAGGGCGCAAUAUUACAGUUGGAGAUUAUGAGGGUGAAUAUAUU
rnacentral:lncRNA from 1 species